ACCCCGCUCCCCCGUCCAUCCACCCCCUUCCGCCGAGGGGCUGCCAGGGGAGAGGGAGAACUCGCCCGCAUCUGCCCAGGACCCAGCCCCGCGCCUUUCCCUGCCGCGGCCGGAUUUACAAAGGUGCCGUCUGCCCGGGGCGAAGCCCCGCUCCUUCCAGCCGGAGUCCGGGGAAGUGGGUUGCUGCCUGGUCUCAUGUGAACUGGAAGUCCCGGCUAUGCUGCUGGGAAACCAACCAUCCGCGAAACGAAGGUCCUGGCUGCUAUCAUGACUGAUGGCGAGAGGAGAGAGCCCUUCCAGCCGCUGGCGAGCGACGACGUCCGGGUGCCCAUAGCCUCCCUCCCCAGCCAGGCAGCCCAGCCCGGGGAGGACGAGGAUGCGCUCAGCCCUUGCAAGUCGAUCCAGGGCAGCCUGGGCUCUGGCGGCUCCUCGGCCCAGGAUCCAGCCCAGGAGGACGAGGAACAGGUCCCUUACCCGGCCCUGGCACCCACCGUCUUCUUCUGCCUCAAGCAAACCACCCGGCCACGCAGCUGGUGCCUCAGACUGUGUCCCCUUCUCCGAUGCCUCGCUUGACUCCUGAAACCUUCCCGUUCCCCUUAUGACAUCAACUGAGAGAGAACUAAAGCAGCUGGGAGCUGUAUGGAGAAGCGUUGGGAGCAGUGGAAGAAAACGAGCUGGCGAGGAGGAAAAGUCCCAACACUCUGGGCUCAUCCUCCAUUAAUCGGACAUCCCUUUACACCACUCUGGCAGCAUAAAGGGGGACACAAGCCCCAGGAGAAUCCCCUCUGUUCCACAUGCUAGUACAGCAGUAAAAACCAGCCUUGCUCCCAGUUCCUGGGGCAGGGCAGAAGGAAGAGUUAUGGGUGUGGGAGCGGAGUGGCCUGGGCCUACUGAGAUAUUGCUGUUUUCUGCUUCCCAGCACCCUGCUGUAGAUAUAGGAGCCAGUUGUUCAGAUUGAGAUUUGAACUCUACUUGCCUUGAGUUUUGGGGUGUGCUGAUUUGGGGUUUUGUUUGGGCUCAUUUCUCAUCCAAUCUAAACCUCUUCAUGUUUGCCUGGCUGUGCUGUUGGAAACAUUUGUAACUGUAAGGUGUCUAAACUCCUUGGGUUAGGGAUUGUCUUUUUGUUCUGUGUUUGUACAGCCCCUAGCACAAUGGGAUCCUGCUCCAUGCCUGGGGCUCUUAGGGGCUACCACAAUGCAAUUAAUAAUAAUAAUUAAUAAUAGGCUAUCAGUACUUGCCUCAAGCAUCCCACUCUGUUAGCAGAUAUUGAUCCUGUUGGUAAAGGGUUAUGUUGACUCACUGGGGUAGGUGGUUCAUUUACCCCAAUGGGAUAUAAGGGAAGUGGGUGUGGCUCUCUGACUAUAGAGGAUCCCAUGUGUGGGCUGAGCAGUCCUGAAGGAGGAUCUGUGGGAACUGUUGUGCCCAGAGAGAAGGUUUGCAUUGAACUUUAUUAUCUUUAUGGUUAAUUCUUUUGUUAAUGUUAAACCCCAGGAAAGGCACAAGUCUGGCAUCUGCAUUGUGUGUGGAAUGUGCUUCAGAACAGAUUUGGAAAGGCCACCUGCUCACACUGCCUUUGUCUCCGCUGUGCAUUUCUGCAGUCUAUUUUACUGUGUUGAACUUCCUCUAAUUGAGAGAGGAAGUGACAUUUGAUUUAUUUUCUAUGCUGGGUUUCUGAAGCCUUUCCAUCCUUAUUGUCUGGUUCCUGCAGCAUCAUUUUCACAAGCCAGUUCCAAUGUUGCUGGAGUCCUGCAAGGUUUCUUUUUGUUCUUGCUUUAGACAGCUCAAAACAUUUUUUCCUUCCAGAGGAGGAAAAUGUUGAAGCGGGGACAAAGAUUUUAAGUGGACCAAAUGGUAUAUUUCUCCCCGCUUCUUUGGGAUUCAAAGACAUCCCUGGCCUUUAGAUGAUCAACUAGCCUUCACUAUUCAAAGAGUACUGUGGUGUUAAAACAACUCUGUGUGUGUGGGUGGAUGGAUGUGUGUGGGUGUGUACACAUCAGACAUUUUAUAGGUGUCUUUGUGUGAAUUGUAUGCAAGUGGUAUUGUUUUACUCUAGAUAAAACAGU